UCUGCACAAAAAAAAAAAAAAAAAAAAAAAAAAAAGAAAAGAAAGAAAGAAAGAAAAAAGAAAAGAUAAAAUGAAAAGAAAAGAGAUGGGUAUUGGAUGGCACCAAACUCCAGAUGACAUCAGGGAAACCAAACCUCUAAGCCACAGGUAACCUUUUUCACACCCUAGAGGACGAUGACAACAUGCAAAUGGGGUCGAGCUGAUACAAUCCUCAAGCUUAAAAGAACAGCAGACCAUCUUGUGAGUGGAACUCCAAGAAAAUGACUGAUGUUGGAAGAGAGGUUUCAGAAGUCUAAGAGAGACAACGCCAGAACCAACGAAACCCCAUAAAAUACACUGAAAAUAUCAUGGAAUAAAAUGUUAACACAGAGGCAGGACAAUGGUAAUUCUCUACCGUGAAAAUUUCUGGGACCUUCUAAAUGGAUUAGGUGUAGGAAUUCUCAUUAGAUAUAGAAGCAAAAUGUAAAAUUCUGCUUAAAAUUCAGUUUGUAAGUUUUCUUCUCUAAAGUAGCUUUUCUAUUUUUAUCUCAAAACAACUAUCAUAGCUUAGAAACAUCGUCUUGGGUAAACACAAGGCUGAGGUCUAUCUGGUAGAUCUUGGCAGGCUGUAGAGGUGAUGUGAAUUUUCCUACAGGUGAUUCGUUCUUCUAAUAAACUUUUCAGAGUUCUCAGCCAACAUGAGUUCUGAAGCAUCAUACUGGAAAACUGGCACCCUUCAACAAACCAGCAGCCACGAAUGUAAAUGGAAGAGUAGAGAGGAAGCAACAGUCAGUGUGUCUGUCCCUGUACAAGGGAAGGAUUUCUGAACUCCUCGAGGAGCCACGGCAGAGAGGAAUUACCAAUGUCAUUUUGAAAGAUACUCUCUUUACCGAAAGCCCAGAAGAAGACAGGGAAGUUUGAACUGACUUUGGCCUUGUGCUGAAAAACUACACAUAAUUGGGAAUUCAAGGAACUUACAAAACAGACGCCAGAUUUCCUUUCAUCAGUAGUGUCAGUGAGCAGAUCUGUUUCCAUUUUUGCAACCAAAGAGAAGUUCUAGACCAGAGUGCCUUGUUUUAAGCGUCCCCCAUGGAAAAAUGUCCAGGGUGAGUCAAAACCCGCUUGGACGGGAUUUGUGUAUCCUCUUUAGCAUCCGCGCAGAAGACACCAGGGAGCUUUCCGUCCGGUGCCACAUUUCACAUGUCUGUCGGAUGGCCUGAAGGUUCAAGCAGAGGUAGCAGUCCACAGGUGAAUUUGUGUGCAUGUGUCUGUGUUUCCCAAAAGAUUCUACAGCUAGCUCAAAAGCAAUGCAUACAAUCACAUAGAGUGAGAUUUAAAUACAAAAUUUCCUCUUCCGAGAGAUAGCUUAUUCUCUAACUUGAAGUCACAGACGAACUGCCUUCCUUUCUUUUGGACAAGCAUGUUGAGUUAUGAGAAGAAAGAAGUCCACCCAAUGAAGACGCUACACAUAUUGGAGUUACAUUCCUUUCUUGGCUGAACAAAAGUCAACUGCUUUAUUAGACCAGAUUCACAGCAUACACGCAGAGCUGAACAAUGAUUUCUCACCGUAAGGGUUCUUAAUGUAUAAAUGUCAAAAACAGCCACUUCAAAACCCCUCGAAAAGUUGAAAAGCAAUCAAGAGUUAAGAUUUCCUGCAAACUAUAAUCCAUUCUACAGACAGAGAAACAUUAUCACUAAUGCUGAUAUGAAUGUUGAGAUGUCGAUAGAAUCAGUAAUCUGUAACUCACAAGGUCUAAUUGUUGGCUAAACUCCUCUAAUCAUGCUCUGAUUAUCCACCAGGACUCCCCUUGCCUCCCAUUUACAAACCCAUGUAGCUGAGCAGAAGCUGAUGUGUGCCGGUAGUCUUUCAGGACACAGGGGAGCUAGUCGAGAACGAGUUCCCAUGAUGGGUGUGGAAAGAAUCCAUCCAAGUACAGACCCCGUAUUACUGAAUGAUGUCCCAGUUACCCAGUCACACAAGAGGGCACACAGAGGUGGCCUACUCUCAUGGGUGGCCACAGAGUACGUAUGUUUUGUUUGGUCCACAUGUUACUUAAUACAAAUGAAUUGUCUCCAUUUAAAAAUUAGGAGAUUUCACUCAGAAGCCGGACUUCUGGCUUCUCCUAAAAUAUUGGAAUUUCUGGCCACAGUUGGCCAACAUGUGGCAACAACUGGCUACUCUUGAGUUGUCACCCUUUAGGGAUGGAGCAUGGCGCCCAUCGUGCCGUGAUCACUCCCUGCCCUGCCUGGCUCAUUAAUGAUCCCAGCCUGGCCCCUGGAAGCAUCUCCAAUCACGGCAGAGGCUACACUUAGUUUUCCGUGUCCACAAUGCCUAGGGCCUGGUACAAUGUGGGUGCCCAGUAUGUACACUUGCUGAAUGAGGGACUGAACGACUGGGUCAAUCCAUUAUUUAAAAGCGGUAUGCGGGGUGCCUGUUUGGCUCAGUGGGUUAAAGCCUCUGCCUUUGGCUCAGGUCAUGAUCCCAGGGUCCUGGGAUCGAGCCCCACAUCAGGCUCUCUGCUUAGCGGGGAGCCUGCUUCCCUUCCUCUCUCUGCGUGCCUCUCUGCCCACUUGUGAUCUCUCUCUGUCAAACAAAUAAAUAAAAUCUUUUUAAAAAUUAAAAAAAAACACUUAUUGAAAAAAAAAAAAAGCAAUAUGCGAGGUGCCUGGGUGCCACAGGAGCUUAAGUGUCCAACUCUUGGUUUUGGCGCAGGUCAUGAUCUUGGGGUCAUAAGAUAGAGCCCCCUGUCAGGCUCUGGGCUUAGCACAGAGUCUGCUUAAGACUCUCGUUCUCCCUCUGGCCUUCCCCUCCAUGAGUGCGCUCUCUCAAACAAAUAAAUAAGUCUUGGGGGAAAA